UACGUAGGGGGCAAGCGUUGUCCGGAAUUAUUGGGCGUAAAAGAGCUCGUAGGCGGUUUUGUUGCGUCGGCUGUGAAAUCCCGAGGCUCAACCUCGGGUCUGCAGUCGAUACGAGCAAACUAGAGUGUUGCAGGGGAGACUGGAAUUCCUGGUGUAGCGGUGAAAUGCGCAGAUAUCGGGAGGAACACCGGUGGCGAAGGCGGGUCUCUGGGCAACAACUGACGCUGAGGAGCGAAAGCGUGGGGAGCGAACAGG
rnacentral:rRNA from 1 species